AGAUUGAACGCUGGCGGCAUGCCUUACACAUGCAAGUCGAACGGUAGAGUAGCAAUACUUGAGAGUGGCGAACGGGUGAGUAAUAUAUCGGAACGUGCCCAGUCGUGGGGGGAUAACGUAGAGAAAUUUACGCUAAUACCGCAUACGAUCUAAGGAUGAAAGCGGGGGACCGUAAGGCCUCGCGCGAUUGGAGCGGCUGAUAUCAGAUUAGGUUGUUGGUGAGGUAAAAGCUCACCAAGCCGACGAUCUGUAGCUGGUUUGAGAGAACGACCAGCCACACUGGGACUGAGACACGGCCCAGACUCCUACGGGAGGCAGCAGGUGGGGAAUUUGGACAAUGGGCGAAAGCCUGAUCCAGCAAUGCCGCGUGCAGGAAGAAGGCUUCGGGUGUAACUGCUUUGUACGGAACGAACGUCUGACUUUAAUACAGUGGUACUAAUGACGGUACGUAAGAAUAAGACGACCGACUAACUACGU
rnacentral:rRNA from 1 species